GAAUUUUUUAAAUAAACCAAUAGGUAAUCGUUCAAAACCUUUUCAAAGAAACAAUGUUUAAUCUUUCCAAAAUCUGAAACCUUUCCCUUCUUAUAAGAAAAUCUUAAUAAGAAACCAACCACGCAAUCAAACAACACAAUCAUUAAUUCAGCACCAAAGUUCAUUCUCAAAUGUAGCACGCCAGGACA